GCCGCCCUUCUCUGGAAUUGCUUUGCAGUGUCCCAAGCCUGCUUCUUUGCAGAGAGGCUCUACAAAAGGUAUCCUCAAGAAAAGACGAAACUUGGUGUAGCUUCACAAAACUGUGGAAUUUUGAAUUCUAAAAGUGCCCUAUUCCAAAGACGUAUUGCCUCCUGGACUGUGUCAGACAGCCACAGAGUACAGACUUCAAAUCGACCUUCAUACCAUUUUGGUUGGAAAUAGAACCACUGGAGGCUCAUCAUGUUACAAUCAGCAAAAUGGAAAAAAAUCAAGAGGUUGAGAACACCAGUGGUCAGCCAUUCAUUAGUAAAGUUUCGUAAAGGAAGUCUCCUGUAGGGUGUAAGGUGUCUACUGGAAACCAAUAUUGCUCUCCGGAGGCUGCACGCUGAGUUACCUCUUUUCUCUACAGGCAUCUACUCCCUGUGUGCUCAAGGCUACCACUCUGCAUGAGAUACCAGUGAGAAGAAGACAGAAAUGCAGAUAAAAUUUGGGGGUUUGGACUCAGAGAUCCAAUACCAGAGAGAGAGCAGCAAACAUCUGGCAAAGCAUCUUGAAAAUCUGGCUGAACAAUUUUUAAAAGUAUUUAUCUGUUGUAUCCUAUAGCUUAAAUCACUAUACAACUUUCCUAAAAAUCUGUAUCUUACCUGAGAAUAAGUCAUAACUUUGCCAGUGUUAAGAUAUUAGAGACACUGGACAUUGUAUGCUGUGUCUGUGACCUAUUUCAAUAUGGAUGAGCCAACAACGGCCAUCUUUGUCUUGAGUAGUGUUCAUGUAAUUGAAAAUAUGCCAACUCCCUUUAAAACAUCAUCAACAGACUUCCUAAUUAAGUUGCCGAUACGAACUGUCAAUAACACUGUGUGCUGUUUGAGAAAUAAAUAGUGUUGCUUGAACCUUGUCAAAUAAACGGUGCUGUCCCUAUA